GCUGGGCAUGGUGGUGCAUGCCUGUAAUCCCAGCUACUCUGGAGGCUGAGGCAGGAGAAUCACUUGAACCUGGGAGACAGAGGUUGCAGUGAGUCAAGACUGUGCCACUGCACCCCCACCUGGGUGACAAAGGGAGCCUCUGUCUCAA
ensembl:misc_RNA Metazoa_SRP Metazoan signal recognition particle RNA